rnacentral:misc_RNA from 1 species
GAUGAAGAACGCAGCGAAAUGCGAUAAGUAAUGUGAAUUGCAGAAUUCAGUGAAUCAUCGAAUCUUUGAACGCACAUUGCGCCCGCCAGCAUUCUGGCGGGCAUGCCUGUUCGAGCGUCAUUUCAACCCUCGAGCCCCCCCGGGGGCCUCGGUGUUGGGGGACGGCACACCAGCCGCCCCCGAAAUGCAGUGGCGACCUCGCCGCAGCCUCCCCUGCGUAGUAGCACACACCUCGCACCGGAGCGCGGAGACGGUCACGCCGUAAAACGCCCAACUUCUUAGAGUUGACCUCGGAUCAGGUAGGAAUACCCGCUGAACUUAAGCAUAACAAUAAGCGGAGGA